GCGGCGCGCGGCUCCCGGCGGCAGACGGGGCUUCUGGUCUUCCCGCCGCGCGAGGGUCGAGGCGGGAAGCCGGGACCGGGCGCGCGCUCGGAGCCUCCUCCCCGCCCCGGUCCGCCCCGCCCCAGGGUCUUCCUCCCCCGGGGUUCGGGGCGGCCCCUCCUCCCGGCCAGGCUGGCCGCGGGGCGCUGAGCGGGCCGGGACUCUGCGGCCGAGGCUGUCGUUAGGCAUCGCCCCGGCGACCCGCUCCGCAGCAAGAUGGCGGACGAGAAGGACAGGGAAGAGACAGCAGUAGCAGAAUUUCACAAAAAAAUCAAAGAGGCAUUUGAAGUGUUUGACCAUGAGUCGAAUAAUACAGUGGAUGUGAGAGAGAUUGGAACAAUUAUCAGGUCAUUGGGAUGCUGCCCUAGCGAAGGAGAGCUGCACGAUCUGAUUGCAGAGGUCUUCACUCCGGGUUCUGAAGGCACUCCUCGUCUUCAUGUUCCUGCUAAUGCUGUUGAGAUAGUGCAAGUCCAUUCUGAUUCCCAAUCCUUUCUAGAGGAAGAAGAACCCACUGGAUACAUUCGAUUUGAAAAAUUUCUUCCGGUGAUGACAGAAAUACUACUAGAAAGAAGAUACAGACCAAUUCCAGAAGAUGUCCUUCUUCGAGCUUUUGAGGUUUUAGAUACAGCUAAACGUGGGUUUCUUACUAAGGACGAACUGAUCAAGUAUAUGACUGAGGAAGAAAAGCUGUCACCCGUGCAGCGUACCUGCCAUGGAAUGUUGUCCUGAAUACCGAGUGAGAGUGCUGAGUACUGUCGCGGUGUCGGGAAAGUGCAGCUCCUGAAAGAACAGAAGAAAGUGACCUGUGCACCUCUGAGUAAAGAGGUCACAUGGAGAAGUGUAAAAUACAGAGCCUCUUACAAGCAAAGGGGAAGAUAAGGUCUGCACUCGUGGGCACUGAGUCAAGACCACCGAGUGCACACGUGCGUGGGUCUGACGCCCGGCGAGUGGCGGGGACAGCAGCACCCCAGCCUCUGCCCCCACCUGCUGACCACAGGGUAAAGUGUCUGCUUGUAAAAGAAAAGUAUGGCUCCUUCUCCCCUCAGCCCGGCCGAAUCUUCCACAAGUCAUUUGCAAAAUAUGGAAGGUAUGGAGCAAAGAACUUUCUUUACAGCACACAUGGGCUUUUCUAGGGGUGCAAAAAUGAAUCGAUGAAUGAAG